GUUGGGGUCAUUUAUUCAAUUUAAGCCCAAUGUUCUAAUUUUUCUCUCCCUCUCUGUGUGCGAGCAUGGAGUUUGGGGUGGGGGGGGGAAGUGGGGGUUGGGGAGUGACAUUAGAAGGGAAGUUUGAAAAACUGGUAGAAAUCUGGGGGGUAUAGAUAUGACUUUGCAUCUGUUGCAUAAAUCUACACCAGACCUCUUAAAAAACAAUUUUCCUUAUUUGCUAAAUUUAGCCAGAUACGACGCGGGUCUCUAAACAUGCCCCUUCGAGCAGAUUUUUAAAAAUCCUUCUUCGGUUUCUAAACCUCACUUUCCCCACCGUUAGGACGUCAGGCAAGGAAGGGGGUUGAAACUGCACCCACGUUUGCUGGAGUCCGGAAUCCAGGGCUUUGCGGUUGUCAUAGCAACCAGGAGUUCCGCAGUUCCCCACCUUCCUCUAACUCUUUCCACUUCCCUCGCCGUCUGGGCAAACAGCCGAUUCUCUCGCGAGAUUUGAGCGUGGCGGUGAGCCUCCCUGCGGUGAGCUCACCCGAGAUUUGGGAGGGAGGGAGCGCAGGAGGGGAAGGGAUGGGGCGGGGAGGCGGAGAGGCGGGGAGAAGAGGGGAGGGGAAGGGCCAGUGCGGCGCAGCCUCCGCCGGCAACUUUGUGAGCGAGUUGAGUGCGUGCAAGAGCGAGUGAGCGAAAGUCAGUGCGGCGCCAAGGCCCCAGGAGGAGGGUCCCUGGGGAGGGCCAGGUCUGGGCCCCAGAAGCCACCCUCUUAAGCGCCUCCAUCCUCUCCUGCCUCUGUGACUUCGUCCCCACUACCUAUCCCUCCUUCCUAGUCCUCCUGGGCCUUCCAGUCCCCGUCUGGAGUUACCUGUCCCCUCCCCCUCCGGACACGCGCCUCCCCUCUCCCCCGCGCCCACUUCGUAUCUUCAGUCCUCGGUGCCCGCCUCAACUCGCUUCCUGCGCCUUCCACCUCUGAGCUUUUUCUCCCGUGGGCGGGCGGCCGGGUGGGAUGGGGGACGCUGAGCCUCGUAGGCGGCGCGAGCGGGGGCCCGGACGCCCAGACAAUAGUUGAUGCCCGGGGAGGGGGGGUUGCCUCCCGCCCCUCACUCCUCCGGGAGCGCGGCCCCCGCCGGCUGCUCUCCAGCUUGCAUUCCGGGGCCUCCUGCGAGCCAGGUUCGGGAGUUGGGCUGAUUCCACCCCUUCCUCCCCCAAACCCCCUCCACUCGGCGCCCGCCCCGGCCGGGCCUCGUCGCCUGCGGUUCUCCGCAGAGCGGAGCGAGCGAGCGCGCGCGGACCGUCUACACGGUUUCUCUUUCUCCCCAGGGAGAGCGCGCGGCGGACGCGCCCCGAACGCGCGGCGGCUUCGGGAGGCCCGGCAGAGCGGUAAAAUUUCAAUUUUGAAUCUCCUGUGGUACUUACUGUAACCAGUUUCCAAGAUUUCUGUAAAAGAGGUAGAAUCGAAAACUCUGUAUUUUCAGGUCUGAUGCUGGAGCCCAUGCGUUCUCCAUCCUUCCAAGACAUCCUGUGCUCCUUGGAGAAGGUAUCAGGGUCUCCCUUUGGUGUACAUGGAAAACCUUGUUAAUUAAAACAUCUUUCAGGCAUUCAUCUAUCUAAUAUUUGAGUAUUUAACGUGCUAAGUGCUUGUUUAAAACCUGGUGAUGUGCUGGUUACUAAACCCUUUCUGCCCUCUUGAAGCUUAUAAAUUACCCAAAGAUUCAUUGUACAGUGAGUAUGCAGUAGGGGAGAGUGUCUGGGUUUUGUAACUUGAGUUUCUUAGCCCAGAAUUAGACAUAUAGGACGCCCUUAACAAAUGCUUGUUAUUUUUGUCUUCCCCCUUUCCACUGAAUUUUUUGCCCCUGGCCAAAUGUUAUACCCUAUUUGUUCACUUGUGGUUGUACUUUGCAUUGUUGACUUGGAUUUGUGUGUUUUCCUCAGUUCAAGAUCAGUCUGUUAAUCUUUAGAA
ensembl:lincRNA